AUGCUGACAGGUAAACUAAUAUUAAGAGCAAAGCUCUACGCAGCUGUGUAUGUGUGUGCACUUCUGGGGAACUGGCUGGUUCUGUAUAGUUGGAAUUUCUUUUCUCAGGAUGAGUUUUCUUCUUCCUUACUGGUGCAUAAGACCAAGUCUGGAUCAAGCCCUUCUCACAUGCCGAAGUCUCAUCCAAAAUCAUCUAGGCAGCUACAGAUGCUUGAACCACACAGUGUCCCUCAAAGAAGAAAUGACUGAAGAUAAGGGGGAAUAGUUGAAGAAAACACAAGUCUAUUUUUAGUGGUCCUUUUCCAUUCUUGAAGUCUCAAUAAAUACUGAGACACUCUCCCUGCA
rnacentral:lncRNA from 1 species